UACAGAACUAAGUUGGUCAUCAAAUCGUAAGUACAUAAAUAAACGUCUUGAAUGGACUCUAAUCCCACAGACAAACAGAACAUGGUGUAACAACGUCUUUAAAAGGUCCAUUUGCAGGUGAAGCUCUCGCUUACGGCCAUACCACCCUGAACGCGCCCGAUCUCGUCCGAUCUCGGAAGCUAAGCAGGGUCGGGCCUGGUUAGUACUUGGAUGGGAGACCGCCUGGGAAUACCAGGUGCUGUAAGCCUUUUCAUUUCUCUUAGCAAACAGCAGAGGCUGCUGCUUCUUCACUGUACACAGAACGUUGUUCAGAUAUUUUUUCCACUGUUGUUGUAUAAUAUUUAAGCUUUCCGUCUAGAUGGAAUUCCUUUGAUUCUACUAUUGUUAUUAUCAUUGUUGUUGUUGUUAUCACUUGUCCACUGCAGGAUAAUAUCUAAACUUCAUUCAUGAGGACAUGUUGAAUUUUUGUCCUGCACACCCUGUUAAUGAAUUGAUUUCGUGGGACCUGAUUUUGGGAGAGUUCAAACAAACAGAACAUGGUGUAACAACGUCUUUAAAAGGUCCAUUUGCAGGUGAAGCUCUCGCUUACGGCCAUACCUCCCUGAACGCGCCCGAUCUCGUCCGAUCUCGGAAGCUAAGCAGGGUCGGGCCUGGUUAGUACUUGGAUGGGAGACCGCCUGGGAAUACCAGGUGCUGUAAGCCUUUUCAUUUCUCUUAGCAAACAGCAGAGGCUGCUGCUUCUUCACUGUACACAGAACGUUGUUCAGAUAUUUUUUCCACUGUUGUUGUAUAAUAUUUAAGCUUUCCGUCUAGAUGGAAUUCCUUUGAUUCUACUAUUGUUAUUAUCAUUGUUGUUGUUGUUAUCACUUGUCCACUGCAGGAUAACAUCUAAACUUCAUUCAUGAGGACAUGUUGAAUUUUUGUCCUGCACACCCUGUUAAUGAAUUGAUUUCGUGGGACCUGAUUUUGGGAGAGUUCAAGUCAGUAAAUGCAUGAAUUAAUACAGAACUAAGUUGGUCAUCAAAUCGUAAGUACAUAAAUAAACGUCUUGAAUGGACUCUAAUCCCACAGACAAACAGAACAUGGUGUAACAACGUCUUUAAAGGUCCAU
rnacentral:lncRNA from 15 species